rfam:Fulvivirga imtechensis AK7 contig15, whole genome shotgun sequence.
GGGGAAUUAGCUCAGUUGGCUAGAGCGCUACACUGGCAGUGUAGAGGUCACCGGUUCGAAUCCGGUAUUCUCCA